UUGCUUCUCUGAUGUUAGCGGCGGACGGGUGAGUAACACGUGGAUAACCUACCUAUAAGACUGGGAUAACUUCGGGAAACCGGAGCUAAUACCGGAUAAUAUUUUGAACCGCAUGGUUCAAAAGUGAAAGACGGUCUUGCUGUCACUUAUAGAUGGAUCCGCGCUGCAUUAGCUAGUUGGUAAGGUAACGGCUUACCAAGGCAACGAUGCAUAGCCGACCUGAGAGGGUGAUCGGCCACACUGGAACUGAGACACGGUCCAGACUCCUACGGGAGGCAGCAGUAGGGAAUCUUCCGCAAUGGGCGAAAGCCUGACGGAGCAACGCCGCGUGAGUGAUGAAGGUCUUCGGAUCGUAAAACUCUGUUAUUAGGGAAGAACAUAUGUGUAAGUAACUGUGCACAUCUUGACGGUACCUAAUCAGAAAGCCACGGCUAACUACGUGCCAGCAGCCGCGGUAAUACGUAGGUGGCAAGCGUUAUCCGGAAUUAUUGGGCGUAAAGCGCGCGUAGGCGGUUUUUUAAGUCUGAUGUGAAAGCCCACGGCUCAACCGUGGAGGGUCAUUGGAAACUGGAAAACUUGAGUGCAGAAGAGGAAAGUGGAAUUCCAUGUGUAGCGGUGAAAUGCGCAGAGAUAUGGAGGAACACCAGUGGCGAAGGCGACUUUCUGGUCUGUAACUGACGCUGAUGUGCGAAAGCGUGGGGAUCAAACAGGAUUAGAUACCCUGGUAGUCCACGCCGUAAACGAUGAGUGCUAAGUGUUAGGGGGUUUCCGCCCCUUAGUGCUGCAGCUAACGCAUUAAGCACUCCGCCUGGGGAGUACGACCGCAAGGUUGAAACUCAAAGGAAUUGACGGGGACCCGCACAAGCGGUGGAGCAUGUGGUUUAAUUCGAAGCAACGCGAAGAACCUUACCAAAUCUUGACAUCCUUUGACAACUCUAGAGAUAGAGC
rnacentral:rRNA from 1 species